GACGAACGCUGGCGGCGUGCCUAAUACAUGCAAGUAGAACGCUGUCGCGAACGGGCGAGUAACGCAUUGGUAAUCGCUUCACAGCGGGGGAUAACUUUGGGAAAAGAUAGCAAACACCGUAUUUUGUGUGACGCACCUCUGUUGUAUUAGCUAGUUGGUGCGGUAAUGGCGUACCAAGGUGACUAUACAUAGCCGACCGGACAGGGUGUUCGGCCACCCGGGGACGGAGACUCGGCCCAGACCCCUACGGGAGGCAGCAGUAGGGAAUCUUCGGCAAUGGAGGGAAGUCUGACCGAGCAACGCCGCGUGAGUGAAGAAGGUUUUCGGAUCGUAGGGCUCUGUUGUUAGAGAAGCGGUACCUAACCAGAAAGGGACGGCUAACUACGUGCCAGCAGCCGCGGUAAUGC
rnacentral:rRNA from 1 species